rnacentral:rRNA from 1 species
CCUACGGGUGGCAGCAGUGAGGAAUAUUGGUCAAUGGACGCAAGUCUGAACCAGCCAUGCCGCGUGCAGGAAGACUGCUCUAUGAGUUGUAAACUGCUUUUGUACGGGGAUAAACGCAGAUACGCGUACCUUUCUGAAAGUAUCUUACGAAUAAGGAUCGGCUAACUCCGUGCCAGCAGCCGCGGUAAUACGGAGGAUUCAAGCGUUAUCCGGAUUUAUUGGGUUUAAAGGGUGCGUAGGCGGGUGGUUAAGUCAGAGGUGAAAUUCUGAGGCUCAACUUUGAAAUUGCCUUUGAUACUGGUCGUCUAGAGAGUAGUUGAGGUAGGCGGAAUGCAUGGUGUAGCGGUGAAAUGCUUAGAGAUCAUACAGAACCCCGAUUGCGAAGGCAGCUUACCAAGCUACUUCUGACGUUGAGGCACGAAAGCGUGGGGAGCAAACAGGAUUAGAUACCCGUGUAGUC